rnacentral:tRNA from 2 species
GAUGUGGUGGCCGAGUGGUUAAGGCGUGAGGUGCAGGUCCUCAUGAGCUCUGCUCUCGCAGGUUCGAAUCCUGUCCACGUCG